AUUGAACGCUGGCGGCAUGCUUUACACAUGCAAGUCGAACGGCAGCGCGGGCUUCGGCCUGGCGGCGAGUGGCGAACGGGUGAGUAAUGCCUCGGAACGUGCCCAGUAGUGGGGGAUAGCCCGGCGAAAGCCGGAUUAAUACCGCAUACGACCUGAGGGUGAAAGCGGGGGACCGAAAGGCCUCGCGCUAUUGGAGCGGCCGAUGUCGGAUUAGCUAGUUGGUGGGGUAAAGGCUUACCAAGGCGACGAUCCGUAGCUGGUCUGAGAGGACGACCAGCCACACUGGGACUGAGACACGGCCCAGACUCCUACGGGAGGCAGCAGUGGGGAAUUUUGGACAAUGGGGGCAACCCUGAUCCAGCCAUGCCGCGUGCGGGAAGAAGGCCUUCGGGUUGUAAACCGCUUUUGUUCGGGAAGAAAUCCUCUGGGCUAAUACCCCGGGGGGAUGACGGUACCGGAAGAAUAAGCACCGGCUAACUACGUG
rnacentral:rRNA from 1 species